CCAAAAAUCUCAGUUUCAAUUUCAUUUGCAUAUGGAACUUUUGAUGAUCUGGAUGCGUUAAGCACGUCUAACGAACCAACAGCUAUAACAAGUGUGGGUACAAAUGUACCUUUGGUCGUUGGCUAUUUUGUAAUCAUCUAAUAUGUAUAUGUUUGCAUUCGUAUAUCAUUACUCUAUAGCUACUAGAAAAAUAGUUAUUUACACUGGAAAAAAGUCCUCCCUCUCUAUGUACCCCUGAUGUUCUUGAUCUUGUAUCCUUAGCAAGGUUUCUGUUGUUACAUGUCAGUUUUUCUAAAGGACGCGUUGUCAAUAUAUGUAUUAUAAUAGAUUUUUACACUAGCCACAUGUCCUCGCUAUAAGUAUUUUUUUUAAUUAAUAUUAAAAUGGUGUUUGAUAUUGUUUAUCUAAAGUGCUUAUUGUGGUUUAAUAUGUAAUUGAUAAGGUAUUUAAAGUUUUUGGAUAAUGAGUUUUUUGAUAAGUUAUUUCAUCAUUACACAUAAAAUACUUUAUCAAACACUAAAAUAUAACUUCUAAGCUUAUUAUGUUUUGGUAGAAAAUAAAUUAAUUCAAACAUUUCUUUUAAACUCUAUUUUAACACCAUAUAAACUAAGAGAAAUAAAAUAUCCUCCUACUUAUUCUUCAUAUCCAUCUUCUUACAUGCUUAGGAUUGUAUUCAAUAAAAUUAAUAAACUUUUAUUAGGUUUUAGAAAAUACAAAAAGCAAGGACAUGUCGCGAGUGUACACUUUGUUUUGAAUUAUACUUGCGGCUUUCUUUUGGGGAUUCCAUCGAGAGACCCAAGGUUCAUGUACUGAAACUCGCUUCUUCAAAUUUCCCUCUUCUCUGUUGUCGUCGUCUUUUUCAUUUUCUUUGCUUCUUUUCUUAUAGGUCUGGUAGUUGGAUAUAUUGCGUUUUGGAGUGUUGCUUGUUAAGUGUAAAGAUGUGUAAGGUGUUGCUGUAGCCAACAACUGCAGAGAAUGUUACGAGGAGGAAACCUUCCAACACUGAAUCCUCAAUUUUUUGUUCGAAUAGCUGAUUUCAUCUCCUACGCUUUUUGGUUGUUGGAGUUAAUUUGUUGUGUUUUUGUGAUGUAUAUGUCGUCAGAGAUGAUGAAGUGCACAAACGCAUACGGCGAUGUUGCUUGUGGUUGUGGAGUUGCCUCUUCCUUCUUCGAUUGAAGCUUCAAAUACAACAAAUUUGGUGUUGUUUCCUUAUGAAGAAAUCCGUUACGCCAAUCCUAAUUUUUGAUAACAAGAAAUUAGGGUUAAUAUCCUAUUGGACAAAUGGGUUCAUUCAUAUAUAUUGAUGUUUCCAUUUGAUUCAGGGUUCUUCUUGUUUUGGUUCACAAUAAACUGAUACUUUUGAACGAAAUUGAUAUCGAUUUUAUUGAUGCAUUUUUCUCGUA